rnacentral:rRNA from 1 species
AAUAGAUACCCGGGUAGUCCACGCCGUAAACGAUGAGUGCUAAGUGUUGGGGGGUUUCCGCCCCUCAGUGCUGCAGCUAACGCAUUAAGCACUCCGCCUGGGGAGUACGGUCGCAAGACUGAAACUCAAAGGAAUUGACGGGGGCCCGCACAAGCGGUGGAGCAUGUGGUUUAAUUCGAAGCAACGCGAAGAACCUUACCAGGUCUUGACAUCCCGGUGACCGCUAUGGAGACAUAGUUUCCCCUUCGGGGGCAACGGUGACAGGUGGUGCAUAGUUGUCGUCAGCUCGUGUCGUGAGAUGUUGGGUUAAGUCCCGCAACGAGCGCAACCCUUAUUCUUAGUUGCCAUCAUUCAGUUGGGCACUCUAAGGAGACUGCCGGUGAUAAACCGGAGGAAGGUGGGGAUGACGUCAAAUCAUCAUGCCCCUUAUGACCUGGGCUACACACGUGCUACAAUGGACGGUACAAACGGUUGCCAACCCGCGAGGGGGAGCUAAUCCGAUAAAACCGUUCUCAGUUCGGAUUGUAGGCUGCAACUCGCCUACA